rnacentral:rRNA from 1 species
GACGAACGCUGGCGGCGUGCUUAACACAUGCAAGUCGAACGGAAAGGCCUGCUUUCCCUUGUGGAUUGCGGGUACUCGAGUGGCGAACGGGUGAGUAACACGUGAGUGAUCUGCCCCCAACUUGGGUAUAAGCCUGGGAAACAGGGUCUAAUUCCCGAUAGGACUGCAGGGUGGUGCCUGUGGUGGAAAACGAUUUUCUAGUGGUUGGGGAUGAGCUCGCGGCCUAUCAGCUUGUUGGUGGGGUAAUGGCCUACCAAGGCGGCGACGGGUAGCCGGCCUGAGAGGGUGGACGGCCACAUUGGGACUGAGAUACGGCCCAGACUCCUACGGGAGGCAGCAGUGGGGAAUAUUGCACAAUGGGCGGAAGCCUGAUGCAGCGACGCCGCGUGGGGGAUGACGGCCUUCGGGUUGUAAACUCCUUUCGACCGCGAGGAAGCCACCUGGUUGGAAGGGUGGUGACGGUAGUGGUAGAAGAAGCACCGGCUAACUACGUG